rnacentral:rRNA from 1 species
GACAGAGGGUGCAAACGUUGUUCGGAAUUACUGGGCGUAAAGCGCGUGUAGGCAGCUGAGCAAGUCGGAUGUGAAAGCCCUGGGCUCAACCUAGGAAGUGCAUUCGAAACUGCUGAGCUAGAGUUCUGGAGAGGAAAGCGGAAUACCUGGUGUAGAGGUGAAAUUCGUAGAUAUCAGGUGGAACACCAGUGGCGAAGGCGGCUUUCUGGACGAUAACUGACGCUGAGACGCGAAAGCGUGGGGAGCAAACAGG